rnacentral:rRNA from 1 species
UACGUAGGGGGCGAGCGUUGUCCGGAUUUACUGGGCGUAAAGAGCGCGUAGGUGGCUGUGAGAGUCGGCUGUGAAAUCUCUGGGCCCAACCCAGAGGGGUCGGCCGAGACCUUAUGGCUUGAGGGUGGUAGAGGAAGGUGGAAUUCCGGGUGUAGUGGUGAAAUGCGUAGAGAUCCGGAGGAACACCAGUGGCGAAGGCGGCCUUCUGGGCCACACCUGACGCUGAGGCGCGAAAGCGUGGGGAGCGAACCGA